CCUACGGGUGGCUGCAGUGGGGAAUAUUGCACAAUGGGGGAAACCCUGAUGCAGCGACGCCGCGUGAGUGAAGAAGUAUUUCGGUAUGUAAAGCUCUAUCAGCAGGGAAGUUAAUGACGGUACCUGACUAAGAAGCCCCGGCUAACUACGUGCCAGCAGCCGCGGUAAUACGGAGGGGGCAAGCGUGAUCCGGAUUUACUGGGUGUAAAGGGGGCGUAGACGGUUAUGUAAGUCUGGAGUGAAAGCCCGGGGCCCAACCCCGGGACUGCUGUGGAAACUGGGUAACUGGAGUACAGGAGGGGCAGGCGGAAUGCCUGGUGUAGCGGUGAAAUGCGUAGAUAUCAGGAGGAACACCGGCGGCGAAGGCGGCCUGCUGGACUGAAACUGACGUUGAGGCUCGAAAGCGUGGGGAGCAAACAGGAUUAGAUACCCGGGUAGUC
rnacentral:rRNA from 1 species